UCCAGAAACCCUAUAUUGUAUUCGAACAGUUUUAAAAAAAGGAAAAUUGGGGAAAAGCUCUAAAACGUCAUAAACAGCAUAGAUCUAGCACAUAUAUGAAAGAAUAAAAUGAAAAGGAACCUCGAAUAGGCUGGGGUUUCUGAGAACCCUAAAGGUCGAGAAAGGCUUGGAAGUCACGAGAGCGGGUCUGAGUUGAUAAGGUCGAAUCCAGGCUCAGGAGGACAAGAUACGCCAGAGAAAGGCCGGAAACAACAAGAAAAAUCUCAAAUCGACCAAGGUCUGGGUGAAGCCUUUUGAGGUCUGGCCUCAAAUCUUCAAGAGGCAGGCAUGUGAGAACAACAGAUGGUGGGUAGAGGUCGUCCAUGGCUAGAUUAGCCAUGAUUCUGGUGAUUUGAGGUUGAAGAAGGGGUAGGCAGCCACUAGGGUUUCAGAGGUUGAGAGCGUUUAAGAUAGAAC
rnacentral:lncRNA from 1 species